GAGGGUAUAGCUCAGUGGUGGAGCACAUGCUUAGCAUGCACGAGGUCCUGUGUUCAAUCCCCAGUAUCUCCA
rnacentral:tRNA from 1 species